rnacentral:rRNA from 1 species
GAUGAACGCUGGCGGCGUGCCUAACACAUGCAAGUCGAACGGGAACCUAAUUUCGGUUGGGUGAGAGUGGCGAACGGGUGAGUAACACGUAGGUGACCUGCCCCUGGGUGGGGGAUAACUGUCGGAAACGACAGCUAAUACCCCGGAUGUCAAGAGGGUUAGAGGCUCUUGACUAAAGCUCAGGCGCCUGGGGAGGGACCUGCGGGCUAUCAGCUAGUUGGUGAGGUAACGGCUUACCAAGGCCCAGACGGCUAGGGGGCGUGAGAGCGUGGCCCCCC